GACGAACGCUGGCGGCGUGCUUAACACAUGCAAGUCGAACGGAAAGGCCCUGCUUUUGUGGGGUGCUCGAGUGGCGAACGGGUGAGUAACACGUGAGUAACCUGCCCUUGACUUUGGGAUAACUUCAGGAAACUGGGGCUAAUACCGGAUAGGAGCUCCUGCUGCAUGGUGGGGGUUGGAAAGUUUCGGCGGUUGGGGAUGGACUCGCGGCUUAUCAGCUUGUUGGUGGGGUAGUGGCUUACCAAGGCUUUGACGGGUAGCCGGCCUGAGAGGGUGACCGGCCACAUGGGGACUGAGAUACGGCACAGAAUCCUACGGGAGGAAGAAGUGGGGAAUAUUGCACAAUGGGAGGAAGCCUGAUGCAGCAACGCCGCGGGAGGGAUGACGGCCUUAGGGUUGUAAACCGCUUUCGCCUGUGACGAAGCGUGAGUGACGGUAAUGGGUAAAGAAGCACCGGCUAACUACGUG
rnacentral:rRNA from 1 species